GUACUCGCUUGGGCAGCACAUAUACUAAAAUUGGAAUGAUAUAGAAAAGAUUAGUAUGGUGCCUGCACAAGGAUGACGUGCAAAUUUGUGAAGCGUCCCAUAUUUUU